AAAUUUAGGGAAAAGUUGUUAUUCAUUGUUAAGUGUUUAAUUAGGCCAAGUAGAGGGAUGUAUGAGUGUGUGGUUGAUUGUAAAGCAUGAUUGGUGAAAGAAACAAGUAUUGGUUCAUCGGAUUUGGGAAAUUUUAAAUUGUUUGGGGAAAAUUGUUUAUUGGAUGUUAAAUCUAUAAUUAGGGGAAUUCUAAGCAUGUUUGAGUGUGUGGUUGAUUGUAAGUCAUGAUUGGAACUGGGAACUACUCUUCCUUAAACCCGAUUUUUGAUAGUGUAUUUUUUUCUUAGGUGUGGUCAAUUGUUACAUUAAUAGUCUGUUGGAUCUUAAUUGUAUUCAUGAAUAUCUUGUUGUUUGCAUGAAAAUUAGGUUUAUUUGAGAUGUUUAUGCUUGAAAUGUUAGUUGAUUUGGUUUAUGUUGAUCUUGAAUUUUAAUGAUUGUUCUCUGUUUUAUGUGUGAGGUAUGGUGGUCAUUGGAUAUUGGAAAUGCUGAGUGGAGAUAUUAUCAGAGAAGUGAGAGGAGGAGUAUCAACAAUCAAUAUUGUUCAAUGCUUGUAUGUUGUUCAUUAGGUCUAGAGUUAAGUUUGCUAUUAAAUGCUAACCACAUAUGUACUUAAAACCCC
rnacentral:lncRNA from 1 species